UACGUAGGGUGCGAGCGUUGUCCGGAAUUAUUGGGCGUAAAGAGCUUGUAGGCGGUUUGUCGCGUCUGCUGUGAAAAUCCGAGGCUCAACCUCGGACUUGCAGUGGGUACGGGCAGACUAGAGUGUGGUAGGGGAGACUGGAAUUCCUGGUGUAGCGGUGAAAUGCGUAGAUAUCAGGAGGAACACCGAUGGCGAAGGCAGGUCUCUGGGCCACUACUGACGCUGAGACGCGAAAGCGUGGGGAGCAAACAGG
rnacentral:rRNA from 1 species